rnacentral:rRNA from 1 species
UGAGGAAUAUUGCGCAAUGGGGGAAACCCUGACGCAGCGACGCCGUGUGAGCGAUGAAGGCCUUCGGGUUGUAAAGCUCUGUCAGAGGGGAAGAAAGGGGAUAUGGUUAAUACCCAUGUCCAUUGACGGUACCCUUUGAGGAAGCACCGGCUAACUCCGUGCCAGCAGCCGCGGUAAUACGGAGGGUGCGAGUGUUAUUCGGAAUCACUGGGCGUAAAGAGCACGUAGGCGGAUCGGUAAGUCAGAUGUGAAAUCCCGGAGCUCAACUCCGGAACUGCAUUUGAUACUGCCAGUCUUGAGUGAGGUAGAGGGGGGUGGAAUUCCCGGUGUAGAGGUGAAAUUCGUAGAUAUCGGGAGGAACACCAGAGGCGAAGGCGACCCCCUGGGCCUUUACUGACGCUGAGGUGCGAAAGCGUGGGGAGCAAACA